rnacentral:rRNA from 1 species
CAGCCGUAAACAAUGUGCGUUAGGUGUGUCGGUAACCACGCGUUACUGAUGCGCCGAAGAGAAAUCGUGAAACGCACCACCUGGGAAGUACGGUCGCAAGGCUGAAACUUAAAGGAAUUGGCGGGGGGAGCACCACAACAGGUGGAGCCUGCGGUUUAAUUGGAUUCAACGCCGGACAUCUCACCGGAUAAGACAGCUGAAUGAUUGUCAAUCUGAAGGUUUACAUGACUAGCUGAGAGGUGGUGCAUGGCGUCAGUGACU